UACGUAGGUGGCGAGCGUUGUCCGGAUUUACUGGGCGUAAAGAGCGCGCAGGCGGUCGUGCAAGUCGCGUGUGAAAGCCCCCGGCUCAACUGGGGAGGGUCACGCGAUACUGCUCGACUCGAAGGCAGGAGAGGGAAGUGGAAUUCCUGGUGUAGCGGUGAAAUGCGUAGAUAUCUGGAGGAACACCGGUGGCGAAGGCGGCAUCCUGGACCGGCAUUGACGCUGAGGAGCGAAAGCCAGGGGAGCAAACGGG
rnacentral:rRNA from 1 species